rnacentral:lncRNA from 1 species
CAGAGAUAUGUUUUCUUUUUCUUUUUUCUUAGACCUAGCAAUAGUAUCUGGCAAGACAUUAAAGGCUGUUUUUCCCUGCUGAAGCCUUGUCUUUAGCAGUAGGUGGUGCUGUGCUUUCACUGAAUCAGCGUUUGGCUCUCAUUCCUGGGGACAAUUCCCUAAAGUGGAGCUACAGCGUGAUGAAAAUAGGAAUUUGUUUCGUCUGCAUAUUUAGCUGGCUGAAUAAGCUGCCCCUGGGUUCCAUAUGCAUCAUUCCAGUGAUACUGCCUUCCGUCCUUCUCAGAUACCUUUAAAUAGGGGAGCUACUUUAUGCCACCUGGCUGUUCCGUGCCUCUCUCUUCUACCCUUUUGAAGCUGGAGGGAGAGACCUUGCAGCUCCAACGUGACUGUGCUUUGCUGUGCUGGGGCAGUUAGGAUCUGGAACAGCUGACCUGGAUGUGGAACACAGCUACAGUUGCCUUUAUGUAGCCCUGGAAGGGGGUAAAUUUUGUAUGGAGGGAAGAGAAGAAAAAGUGUGUUUGUACCACUCAGUACUCCAGAUUUUCCAAUGAGGUGAAGUCCUACGAGUUAAGUUCUGGCUCAAAGGCAGACAGAUCACCUAGCCAGAAAGAGUGUCAGAUGCAGACUCCUUUAUGCAGAAUGAGGUGGACGAUGAGUAUGGAGAAAGAAGAUGACCAUAUUACUACCCAAGAGUUACAAAAAAAGAAGUUAGGACGUGAGAGUAUUACAUAGCUUGAAAUAGGGCCCACAGUGAACUGUGGAGAACAUUUAGGUUUUCAGUGAUGGCAUAAGAAAUGUUACGGAACAGAAGACAGCCUUAGGUCAAUGCUCCUUGUUAGAAACAGAAGACUGGAAAUUCAUUUGUGAUGCUGUUUUGAAUAGGAUCCCAAACAGAUUUACUAUAAUCAUUCCAAGUUUUUUUCAGGGAUAAAGUCAGACAUCAUGUUG